GUCCUCUUGUCUACAUCUCCAGAGGGUAAACGCUGAAAGGGCAGGCAUUGUGGCCCUCACGAAAUAGUUAUGGAGAGGAAGGAAGAUGCUGAUUUACUUUGAAGCAUCCUCAACCAGGAUGGAAACAGUCCUAUCUACAGGAUACGGGACCUGUAGAGAGGGAUGAAAAGCUUAGGCUUUCUUAGCCUGAAGAAAACAAAGACACAUUUCCAUGGAUGGCUGAACACUGAUGAAUGCUUCCCAAAUAGAAUUAGCACCACAUCUUGGUUGUCUCCAUUAUGAAAUGUGCACGAAGAGAGACAUCAGAGUCUCUUCCCUAACGUCUGUAUGGCUCUAGUUUCCACAGUCAUUCACAGAAUUUAGAGCAAACAGCCCAUUCUAAAAGGUUAAGUGGAAACAAGUCUGCUUGUGAAUAAUAAUUGCUGGUGGAUUCUGAAGCGUCCACAAGUUCUUGGACAAUCUGGGCCCUCACUUUGUAAUUGUUUAUUAGCCGUUAAAUAAUCAGAUCAGAGGUAGAGCUCGGAGGCUUUGCAAAUUCAUGUCACUCUUACCUGAAGGCACAAAACAGAGGCAGUGUGUCUUCUUCAACGAGGUAGUACAAACCUAUUUUCACAGAAAUCAAGAUAUUGGC
rnacentral:lncRNA from 1 species